GACGAACGCUGGCGGCGUGCUUAACACAUGCAAGUCGAACGCUGAACCCGCUUCGGUGGGGGAUGAGUGGCGAACGGGUGAGUAACACGUGGGCAACCAGCCCCCGGCUCUGGGAUAACUCCAAGAAAUUGGGGCUAAUACCGGAUGUGACCGCUGGCCGCAUGGUCUGGUGGUGGAAAGGGUUUCCGGCUGGGGAUGGGCCCGCGGCCUAUCAGCUUGUUGGUGGGGUAGUGGCCUACCAAGGCGACGACGGGUAGCCGGCCUGAGAGGGUGACCGGCCACACUGGGACUGAGACACGGCCCAGACUCCUACGGGAGGCAGCAGUGGGGAAUAUUGCGCAAUGGGCGGAAGCCUGACGCAGCGACGCCGCGUGGGGGAUGGCGGCCUUCGGGUUGUAAACCUCUUUCAGCAGGGACGAAGCGCAAGUGACGGUACCUGCAGAAGAAGCACCGGCCAACUACGUG
rnacentral:rRNA from 1 species